UAUUUUUAGACACUUCUAAUAUUCAUAAAUCAUAUAACAAGCAUUAAAAAAGUUAAAUUAAUAACUAAGUCAUACAUGCACCAAUAAAUAUGCAAUUUUUACCACAGCAUAAGAGCAUCAUUUAUAGACUACCAUAAAAAUUUCAUAGAAAUUGGAGCACCACAACUUUAGAUAUGAAAAUAACAAGCAAAACAAGCCAAAAUUGCUUAUUAAAUCAAAAACAUGAUAAAAACAGUACACAACUAACAUGUUCAAUAUUUUUCUUAGCUAUAGAGUGUCAUUACAAGAUUAACACAACUGGAAUCACAAUCUUUGGACUUCUAUAACUCAAAAUAUACAUCUAACCAACUUAAAAGGAUUUCUACAAGUACUUUGAAAGAAUAAAUAAAAACAUCAGAAACUUUUUACUAACACAUAUCAUAUUAUGACUCUAAUGCAUAAUUAUACUCACAAGGAUUCCAAAACAUCUUCAUUUUCUAUUUUACGAUUUUUCUACGAUUUACUACGAAUUUCCAAAGUUUCAGCCUUUUUUAAUCUAGGAAAUAAAGAAAACCGAGGCAAACUUGCAAUUUAGCCCCUGGAUCUACGGGUUAAUUGUGCAAAAGUCCCUGGAUUUCACCCAUAACCCCCUACACUUCCUUCUUCUUCC
rnacentral:lncRNA from 1 species